rnacentral:rRNA from 1 species
UACGUAGGGUGCGAGCGUUGUCCGGAAUUAUUGGGCGUAAAGGGCUCGUAGGCGGUCUGUUGCGUCGGGAGUGAAAACUCAGGGCUUAACCCUGAGCCUGCUUCCGAUACGGGCAGACUAGAGGUAUGCAGGGGAGAACGGAAUUCCUGGUGUAGCGGUGAAAUGCGCAGAUAUCAGGAGGAACACCGGUGGCGAAGGCGGUUCUCUGGGCAUUACCUGACGCUGAGGCGCGAAAGCCAGGGGAGCAAACGGG